CCUACGGGUGGCAGCAGUGAGGAAUAUUGGUCAAUGGGCGAGAGCCUGAACCAGCCAAGUCGCGUGAAGGAUGACGGCCCUACGGGUUGUAAACUUCUUUUGUCAGGGAGCAAUUGAGUCCACGUGUGGUCUUAGCGAGAGUACCUGAAGAAAAAGCAUCGGCUAACUCCGUGCCAGCAGCCGCGGUAAUACGGAGGAUGCGAGCGUUAUCCGGAUUUAUUGGGUUUAAAGGGUGCGUAGGCGGAAUAUCAAGUCAGCGGUAAAACUUCGGGGCUCAACCCCGUCGUGCCGUUGAAACGGAUGUUAUGGCGGGGGCGAGAAGUAGGCGGAAUGAGUGGGGUAGCGGUGAAAGGCAUAGAUAGCACGCAGAACUCAGAUGGAGAAGGCAGCAUACCGGCGCCAAACUGACGCUGAGGCACGAAAGCGUGGGUAUCGAACAGGAUUAGAUACCCUUGUAGUC
rnacentral:rRNA from 1 species